rnacentral:rRNA from 2 species
UAGUAUUUGGUCGUAGACCCGAAACCAGGUGAUCUACCCAUGGUCAGGUUGAAGUUCAGGUAACACUGAAUGGAGGACCGAACCGACUUACGUUGAAAAGUGAGCGGAUGAACUGUGGGUAGCGGAGAAAUUCCAAUCGAACUUGGAGAUAGCUGGUUCUCUCCGAAAUAGCUUUAGGGCUAGCCUCAAGUGAUGAUUAUUGGAGGUAGAGCACUGUUUGGACGAGGGGCCCCUCUCGGGUUACCGAAUUCAGACAAACUCCGAAUGCCAAUUAAUUUAACUUGGGAGUCAGAACAUGGGUGAUAAGGUCCGUGUUCGAAAGGGAAACAGCCCAGACCACCAGCUAAGGUCCCAAAAUAUAUGUUAAGUGGAAAAGGAUGUGGCGUUGCCCAGACAACUAGGAUGUUGGCUUAGAAGCAGCCAUCAUUUAAAGAGUGCGUAAUAGCUCACUAGUCGAGUGACACUGCGCCGAAAAUGUACCGGGGCUAAACAUAUUACCGAAGCUGUGGAUUGUCCUUUGGACAAUGGUAGGAGAGCGUUCUAAGGGCGUUGAAGCAUGAUCGCAAGGACAUGUGGAGCGCUUAGAAGUGAGAAUGCCGGUGUGAGUAGCGAAAGACGGGUGAGAAUCCCGUCCACCGAUUGACUAAGGUUUCCAGAGGAAGGCUCGUCCGCUCUGGGUUAGUCGGGUCCUAAGCUGAGGCCGACAGGCGUAGGCGAUGGAUAACAGGUUGAUAUUCCUGUACCACCUAUAAUCGUUUUAAUCGAUGGGGGGACGCAGUAGGAUAGGCGAAGCGUACGAUUGGAUUGUACGUCUAAGCAGUGAGAUUGAGUGUUAGGCAAAUCCGGCACUCUUAAGAUUGAGCUGUGAUGGGGAGAGGAAAUUGUUUCCUCGAGUCGUUGAUUUCACACUGCCGAGAAAAGCCUCUAGAUAGAGAUUAGGUGCCCGUACCGCAAACCGACACAGGUAGUCAAGAUGAGAAUUCUAAGGUGAGCGAGCGAACUCUCGUUAAGGAACUCGGCAAAAUGACCCCGUAACUUCGGGAGAAGGGGUGCUCUUUAGGGUGCAAGCCCAGAAGAGCCGCAGUGAAUAGGCCCAAGCGACUGUUUAUCAAAAACACAGGUCUCUGCUAAACCGUAAGGUGAUGUAUAGGGGCUGACGCCUGCCCGGUGCUGGAAGGUUAAGAGGAGUGGUUAGCUUCUGCGAAGCUACGAAUCGAAGCCCCAGUAAACGGCGGCCGUAACUAUAACGGUCCUAAGGUAGCGAAAUUCCUUGUCGGGUAAGUUCCGACCCGCACGAAAGGCGUAACGAUUUGGGCACUGUCUCAACGAGAGACUCGGUGAAAUCAUAGUACCUGUGAAGAUGCAGGUUACCCGCGACAGGACGGAAAGACCCCGUGGAGCUUUACUGUAGCCUGAUAUUGAAAUUCGGCACAGCUUGUACAGGAUAGGUAGGAGCCUUUGAAACGUGAGCGCUAGCUUACGUGGAGGCGUUGGUGGGAUACUACCCUAGCUGUGUUGGCUUUCUAACCCGCACCACUUAUCGUGGUGGGAGACAGUGUCAGGCGGGCAGUUUGACUGGGGCGGUCGCCUCCUAAAAGGUAACGGAGGCGCUCAAAGGUUCCCUCAGAAUGGUUGGAAAUCAUUCAUAGAGUGUAAAGGCAUAAGGGAGCUUGACUGCGAGACCUACAAGUCGAGCAGGGUCGAAAGACGGACUUAGUGAUCCGGUGGUUCCGCAUGGAAGGGCCAUCGCUCAACGGAUAAAAGCUACCCCGGGGAUAACAGGCUUAUCUCCCCCAAGAGUUCACAUCGACGGGGAGGUUUGGCACCUCGAUGUCGGCUCAUCGCAUCCUGGGGCUGUAGUCGGUCCCAAGGGUUGGGCUGUUCGCCCAUUAAAGCGGUACGCGAGCUGGGUUCAGAACGUCGUGAGACAGUUCGGUCCCUAUCCGUCGUGGGCGUAGGAAAUUUGAGAGGAGCUGUCCUUAGUACGAGAGGACCGGGAUGGACAUACCUCUGGUGUACCAGUUGUCGUGCCAACGGCAUAGCUGGGUAGCUAUGUAUGGACGGGAUAAGUGCUGAAAGCAUCUAAGCAUGAAGCCCCCCUCAAGAUGAGAUUUCCCAACUUCGGUUAUAAGAUCCCUCAGAGAUGAUGAGGUUAAUAGGUUCGAGGUGGAAGCGUGGUGACACGUGGAGCUGACGAAUACUAAUCGAUCGAAGACUUAAUCAA